rnacentral:rRNA from 1 species
AUUGAACGCUGGCGGCAGGCCUAACACAUGCAAGUCGAACGAGUGGCGGACGGGUGAGUAAUGUCUGGGAAACUGCCUGAUGGAGGGGGAUAACUACUGGAAACGGUAGCUAAUACCGCAUACCAUCAGAUGUGCCCAGAUGGGAUUAGCUAGUUGGUGGGGUAACGGCUCACCAAGGCGACGCUCCCUAGCUGGUCUGAGAGUAUGACCAACCACACUGGUACUGAGCCACGGUCCAGACUCCUACGAGAGGCAGCAGUGGGGAAUAUUGCACAAUGGGCGCAAGCCUGAUGCAGCGAGGCCGCGUGUAUGAAGAAGGCCUUCGGGUUGUAAAGUACUUUCAGCGGGGAGGCGUUACCCGCCGAAGAAGCACCGGCUAACUCCGGGCCAGCCGCCGCGGUAAUUC